rnacentral:rRNA from 1 species
CCAAUAGCGUAUAUUAAAGUUGUUGCAGUUAAAAAGCUCGUAGUUGAACUUCGGGGUUUACCCAUUGGUCAGGCUUAAUUGUCUGCACUGGUGAGAUGAAUCUCUACCUUCUGAGGAACUUUCAUGCCAUUUAUUUGGUGUGAUGGGAAAUCAGGACUGUUACUUUGAAAAAAUUAGAGUGUUUAAAGCAGGCUAACGUCUGAAUACAUUAGCAUGGAAUAAUGAAAUAGGACGGACUGAUUCUAUUUCGUUGGUUUCUAGGAUCACCGUAAUGAUGAAUAGGGAUAGUUGGGGGCAUUAGUAUUCAAUUGUCGGAGGUGAAAUUCUUGGAUUUAUUGAAGACUAACUACUGCGAAAGCAUUUGCCAAGGAUGUUUUCAUUAAUCAAGAACGAAAGUUAGGGGAUCGAAGACGAUCAGAUACCGUCGUAGUCUUAACCAUAAACUAUGCCGACUAGGGAUCGGACGAAGUUAAUUUUAUAAUGACGCGUUCGGCACCUUACG